rnacentral:rRNA from 1 species
UUCAGUUCUAGGCUAUAGGCGAUUGAUUAGCGGCGCGAUUCGCCUUGUGCCAGCAGCCGCGGUAAUUCCACGCUCUCAAUAGCGUAUAUUAAAGUUGUUGUGGUUAAAAAGCUCGUUGCCCGAACCUUGGGCCUGGCUGGCCGGUCCGCCUCACCGCGUGCACUGGUCCGGCCGGGCCUUUCCCUCUGUGGAACCCCAUACCCUUCACUGGGCGUGGCGGGGAAACAGGACAUUUACUUUGAAAAAAUUAGAGUGCUCCAGGCAGGCCUAUGCUCGAAUACAUUAGCAUGGAAUAAUGAAAUAGGACGCGCGGUUCUAUUUUGUUGGUUUAUAGGACCGCCGUAAUGAUUAAUAGGGACAGUCGGGGGCAUCAGUAUUCAACUGUCAGAGGUGAAAUUCUUGGAUCAGUUGAAGACUAACUACUGCGAAAGCAUUUGCCAAGGGAUGUUUUCAUUAAUUAGGAACGAAAGUUAGGGGAUCGAAGACGAUCAGAUACCGUCGUAGUCUUAACCAUAAACUAUGCCGACUAGGGAUCGGACGGUGUUAUUCAUGACCCGUUCGGCACCUUACGAGAAAUCAAAGCGCUUUGGGCUCCAGGGGGGAGUAUGGUCGCAAAGGCUGAAACUUAAAGAAAUUGACGGAAGGGCACCACCAGGGGUGGAGCCUGCGGCUUAAUUUGACUCAUCACGGGCAAACUCACCAGGUCCCAGACACAAUAAGGAUUUGACAGAUUGAGAGCUUCUUUCUUGAUUUUGGUGGGUGGUGGGUGCAUGGGCCGUUCUUAAGUUGUGGGGUGGAGUUGUCUGCUUAAUUGCCGAUACCGAACGAGGACCUUUAACCUUGCUAAAUAAGCCCCGCAUUAGCUUCCGGCAGGAUGCCGU